rnacentral:rRNA from 1 species
CCUACGGGAGGCAGCAGUGGGGAAUCUUGCGCAAUGGGCGAAAGCCUGACGCAGCAACGCCGCGUGCGGGAAGAAGGCUUUCGGGCUGUAAACCGCUUUCAGCAGGAACGAAAAUGACGGUACCUGCAGAAGAAGGAGCGGCCAACUAUGUGCCAGCAGCCGCGGUGAUACAUAGGCUUCAAGCGUUGUCCGGAUUUAUUGGGCGUAAAGAGUUCGUAGGCGGUCGAGUAAGUCGGGUGUGAAAAUUCUGGGCUCAACCCAGAGACGCCACCCGAUACUGCUUGACUUGAGUUCGAUAGGGGAGUGGGGAAUUCCUAGUGUAGCGGUGAAAUGCGCAGAUAUUAGGAGGAACACCGGUGGCGAAGGCGCCACUCUGGAUCGAUACUGACGCUGAGGAACGAAAGCAUGGGUAGCAAACAGGAUUAGAUACCCUGGUAGUCCAUGCCGUAAACGGUGGGCACUAGGUGUGGGAUUCUAUUAACGAAUUCCGCGCCGUCGCUAACGCAUUAAGUGCCCCGCCUGGGGAGUACGGUCGCAAGCAAACUCAAAGGAAUUGACGGNNGAGAGNGCGAGCGCGACGAGGGAGAGG